UUGGAGGGCAAGUCUGGUGCCAGCAGCCGCGGUAAUUCCAGCUCCAAUAGCGUAUAUUAAAGUUGUUGCAGUUAAAAAGCUCGUAGUUGAAUUUCGGGGUUAGUAGGUUGGUCAUGCCUCUGGUAUGUACUGGUCUCACUGAUUCCUCCUUCCUGAUGAGCCGUAAUGCCAUUAAUUUGGUGUUGCGGGGAAUUUGGACUGUUACUUUGAAAAAAUUAGAGUGUUUAAAGCAAGCUAACGCUUGAAUACAUUAGCAUGGAAUAAUGGAAUAGGACGUUCGAUCCUAUUUUGUUGGUUUCUAGGAUUGACGUAAUGAUUAAUAGGGAUGGUUGGGGGCGUUAGUAUUCAAUUGUCAGAGGUGAAAUUCUUGGAUUUAUUGAAGACUAACUACUGCGAAAGCAUUUGCCAAGGAUGUUUUCAUUAAUCAAGAACGAAAGUUAGGGGAUCGAAGACGAUCAGAUACCGUCGUAGUCUUAACCAUAAACUAUGCCGACUAGGAAUCAGACGAUGUUAAUUUUUUAAUGACUCGUUUGGCACCUUACGGGAAACCAAAGUGUUUGGGUUC
rnacentral:rRNA from 1 species